UGCUAUCUGUUGCCAGCAAGUAAUGUUGGGGACUCAGAUGGAACUGCCGGUGACAAACCGGAGGAAGGUGGGGACGACGUCAAGUCAUCAUGGCCCUUAUGUCCUGGGCUACACACGUGCUACAAUGGCCGGUACAGAGCGCAGCGAAGCCGCGAGGCAAAGCGAAUCGCAAAAAGCCGGUCUCAGUACGGAUUGGAGUCUGAAACCCGACUCCAUGAAGUUGGAAUCGCUAGUAAUCGCGCAUCAGCAUGGCGCGGUGAAUACGUUCCCGGGCCUU
rnacentral:rRNA from 1 species